rnacentral:rRNA from 1 species
GCAGAGCACUCCUACGGGAGGCAGCAGUGGGGAAUAUUGGACAAUGGGCGAAAGCCUGAUCCAGCCAUGCCGCGUGUGUGAAGAAGGUCUUCGGAUUGUAAAGCACUUUAAGUUGGAGGAAGGGCAGUUACCUAAUACGUAAUUGUUUUGACGUUACCGACAGAAUAAGCACCGGCUAACUCUGUGCCAGCAGCCGCGGUAAUACAGAGGGUGCAAGCGUUAAUCGGAAUUACUGGGCGUAAAGCGCGCGUAGGUGGUUUGUUAAGUUGGAUGUGAAAUCCCCGGGCUCAACCUGGGAACUGCAUUCAAAACUGACUGACUAGAGUAUGGUAGAGGGGUGGUGGAAUUUCCUGUGUAGCGGUGAAAUGCGUAGAUAUAGGAAGGAACACCAGUGGCGAAGGCGACCACCUGGACUAAUACUGACACUGAGGUGCGAAAGCGUGGGGAGCAAACAGGAUUAGAUCCCUGGUAG